rnacentral:misc_RNA from 1 species
AAAUUUUAAUAUUACAUUUCCGCUUUUUGAUUUGAGAUUUUGUCUUUUGUUUUUCCGAUCUGUUGAAUUGUGUUUGAAAUUUGGAUUUUUUUGAUGUAAUUAUUGCUAAAAAUGAUUGAUAUUUGGUUGGGAUGAGUUGUGAUGAACAGUUUUUCUAGCGAUCGUGAAGGAUAUUUUGAUGAGUAUGAAGUUUGACUUGGAAGUGAGAAGUUUCUAA